rnacentral:rRNA from 1 species
CUCCAAUAGCGUAUAUUAAAGUUGUUGUGGUUAAAAAGCUCGUAGUUGGAUCUCAGUCCACUGCCGGUGGUCUAUCACAAUGCGUGUUUACUGCCGUGGCUGGACACACUACCGUUAUCGUCUGGCGGUGCUCUUCACCGGGUGUCGUCAGUGAUCGGUACGUUUACUUUGAAAAAAUUAGAGUGCUCAAAGCGGUCUUU